rnacentral:rRNA from 1 species
GCUUCUUUUUCCACCGGAGCUUGCUCCACCGGAAAAAGAAGAGUGGCGAACGGGUGAGUAACACGUGGGUAACCUGCCCAUCAGAAGGGGAUAACACUUGGAAACAGGUGCUAAUACCGUAUAACAAUCGAAACCGCAUGGUUUUGAUUUGAAAGGCGCUUUCGGGUGUCGCUGAUGGAUGGACCCGCGGUGCAUUAGCUAGUUGGUGAGGUAACGGCUCACCAAGGCCACGAUGCAUAGCCGACCUGAGAGGGUGAUCGGCCACAUUGGGACUGAGACACGGCCCAAACUCCUACGGGAGGCAGCAGUAGGGAAUCUUCGGCAAUGGACGAAAGUCUGACCGAGCAACGCCGCGUGAGUGAAGAAGGUUUUCGGAUCGUAAAACUCUGUUGUUAGAGAAGAACAAGGAUGAGAGUAACUGUUCAUCCCUUGACGGUAUCUAACCAGAAAGCCACGGCUAACUACGUGCCAGCAGCCGCGGUAAUACGUAGGUGGCAAGCGUUGUCCGGAUUUAUUGGGCGUAAAGCGAGCGCAGGCGGUUUCUUAAGUCUGAUGUGAAAGCCCCCGGCUCAACCGGGGAGGGUCAUUGGAAACUGGGAGACUUGAGUGCAGAAGAGGAGAGUGGAAUUCCAUGUGUAGCGGUGAAAUGCGUAGAUAUAUGGAGGAACACCAGUGGCGAAGGCGGCUCUCUGGUCUGUAACUGACGCUGAGGCUCGAAAGCGU